AGUUUGUCGAUGGAAGCUUUCCAUCGGAAAAAGAAGAAGAAGAGGAAAUUCGAGAAUGAAAUUGAAGGGGAGAGGAGGAGAUCGAUUUCAAAACCUAGAGUGAUCAUUGCGGUAUCCGGUUCCAUCAUCGACAACGCGAUCCCUCGAGAUUGCCACUAGAUUGGCUGGUCAAAUUGCUCGUGCGGCAACCAUAUUCCGAAUUGACGAGGUAGUGGUAUUCGACAGUGGAAGGAGUUCGGUGACUGCUCGGAUGUUGCGGCAGCGGACAAUUCUGAUGAGGAUGAAAGUGGCGCUGCUUUUCUUAUAAGGAUCUUGAAGUAUCUUGAGACUCCACAAUACUUGAGAAAAGCUCUUUUUCCAAAGCACAACAAUCUAAGAUUUGUGGGGAUGCUGCCACCGCUGGAUGCUCUUCACCAUUUGCGCAAGCAUGAAUGGAGUCCAUAUCGAGAAGCAUUAUUAGGAAAUUAUUGUUUGCAAAAACUGUGCUGAGGAAUGAAGAAGCCAAAUUCUAGUGUCUGCUUGAUUUCUUGGUUUCCUGCCAGCAGUCAUUUCCAGCUACCAUAAGCUUUGUCCAUCUCUUUCUCCUACAAAUUUUUCUUCUUGGUAUAGCAUCAAGAAAGGCUCCCAGUGCCCAAGCUUAAUUUUUUUGGUCCGCAGUGUUGUAUGAUGCUCUAGUUGACUAUAUCCGAAGUGGUGGCAAAAGGACACUCAAAGUCGAAAUGAAAUGGAAAGUGAAGAAGAAUACGCAAGGAUGAAAAAUUGAGACAAGGGUACCGUGAUGGCAGCACAGAGGUGGAGGAGACGACAAAAUGUAAGAAAUGGAAAAGAACAUAACAUAUCUGCUUUAUUUUAACAAGUUUUAUGGUAACUUGAAGUACAGGUAAUAGAACAUCCACUCCAAUCAAUAUAAACAAGCUUUCCAAGCUAA